CGACGCUGGCGGCGUGCCUAACACAUGCAAGUCAAGGAGAAUUCCCGACUUGUCGGGAUAGUAAACUGGCGAACGGGUGAGUAACACGUAGGUAAUCUACCCUCGGGAUCGGGAUAACCUCGCGAAAAGUGGGGAUAAUACCGAAUAAAGUCUCGGUAUAAUUUGUCGAGAUGAAAGAUGGGGAUCUUCGGACCUAUUACCUGAGGAUGAGCCUGCGCCUGAUUAGCUAGUUGGUAGGGUAAAUGCCUACCAAGGCAACGAUCAGUAGCUGGUCUGAGAGGAUGAUCAGCCACAUUGGGACUGAGAUACGGCCCAGACUCCUACGGGAGGCAGCAGUGAGGAAUUUUGCGCAAUGGGCGAAAGCCUGACGCAGCAACGCCGCGUGACUGAUUAAGCUCUGAGGAGUGUAAAAGUCUGUCGUAGAGGAAGAAACUAUCCGAUAAGAAUAUUGUCGGAUACUGACGGUACUCUAUGAGAAAGCUCCGGCUAACUCCGUG
rnacentral:rRNA from 1 species